ACGCCGACGUAAUACGUAGGUGGCAAGCGUUAUCCGGAUUUAUUGGGCGUAAAGAGAGUGCAGGCGGUUUUCUAAGUCUGAUGUGAAAGCCUUCGGCUUAACCGGAGAAGUGCAUCGGAAACUGGAUAACUUGAGUGCAGAAGAGGGUAGUGGAACUCCAUGUGUAGCGGUGGAAUGCGUAGAUAUAUGGAAGAACACCAGUGGCGAAGGCGGCUACCUGGUCUGCAACUGACGCUGAGACUCGAAAGCAUGGGUAGCGAACAGGAUUAGAUACCCUGGUAG
rnacentral:rRNA from 1 species